AGUGGAGACGGCGGCGGCGGUGGCUGGCGUCAGGCUGUGGACGAAGAGGCGGCCUCGGUGGUAAGUGGCGGCCGCUGGGACCCAGCCAGGUACCGGUCCGGCUCGGCCCUGCCCCUUUCCGGCCGCUCUCACUCCUUCCCUCGGCCUCGAGUUCCUCGUAGGCCCGUGGGGGCCGCCGCGGGGUCGGGGCUGCGAGGCAGCGCCCGCCGUUCCAUGGUAAGCGGUGCUACGGGACGUUCGGAAGGAAACCUCGCUAGAGCAGGGGACGCCUGGGCUCCUGGCUGACCACGGGGCCUUUGCACGGCCAGGGCUUUGCGACCGCAGUGUCUUCCUUCUGUCCCCGGUCGUGCGCCGUGCCCCUCAGCGCGGCUCACGUUUCGGAACACGUCUGCCUUUCAUGCCUCCCGAAGAGCCUCCCCGCAUCCCGUGCCCCCUGCUCGCUGCUGCCGCUGACCCUUGGGCGCUGCGCUGGUCCAGAGCGUGUUGUCCUCUGACGCCGUCAGAACCUGAGCUCCCUGCGAGCUGGGACUCCGCCGUGUCUUCAUUGCCUCCAGUGCAAAGCAACUGCUUGCAAGAGAACAAAAGUGUGUUCAGGUGCACAGAGUAGAAAAUUCAAGGAGCCUGAAAGGGUAUUUGGUGAAGACUUGAUGUGUUUUUCCCAGUCCUAACCUCCAAGGCCCAGUUCUCCCCUGGGGCAGAGGGAAACCCGUUUCUUACGGGUCUGCAAAGAAAGUCUAUGCAGGAACAUCUACGUGCGUUUCUGCAAAAGGUCAGUUACUUUACUUGGGGCUCUUAUACUUAACGUAGCUCGGAGAGCGCCCCAUGCAUUCAGAUACAGGUGGGAUUCCUCCGGAAACGGAGUUUUAUAGCACCAGACUUUAUCCCCUUUCCUGUAGAAAUUUAGGGUUUUUGCUGUCUUUUAUAACGAACAAUGCUAGCUUGACUAUUGCUUGUACAAACCGUUUUUUGCCCAAGUCGGACUAUUUUCUUAGGUUAAAUUCCUUGGUGCAGAAGUGCGAGGGCUGUAUUUAGGCCCCUAAAGGGGUGGUACCAAAUCGCCCUCCCCCACCAGCAUAAGAGGGGGCCGGCGACACCCUUGCCCAAGCUGGAUUUUGCAGACCUGGUAGGCGUGAGAUAGUAUUUCACUGUAGCUUGUGUUUCCUGUAAGUAUAGUCGAACGUCGUGAUGUUCCUGUUACAUCUAUGUUACGUUGAUCAUUGUUACCACUGACAGUCGUUUCGAGAUUGGAAAAUAUGUUUAUUAUAAACGUUUGACUAUUUAAAAGCCA
rnacentral:lncRNA from 1 species